GAAAAAACAAUGAGGUCUCUAAUGGCCUCCGCAACAGUCACUCUUGUGUUAGCAAUACUGUCUCUAAGCUUGCCAUCUCAAAUCUCAGCUGAUACCUACUUGUACUCAUCACCUCCUCCUCCCAAGAAGCCCUAUUAUUAUCACUCUCCUCCACCACCUUCACCUCCUCCACCUAAGCCAUACUACUAUCAUUCACCACCACCACCUUCACCUCCUCCACCCAAGCCAUACUACUAUCACUCACCACCACCACCUUCACCUCCUCCACCUAAACCAUACUACUAUCACUCACCACCACCACCUUCACCUCCUCCACCUAAACCAUACUACUAUCACUCACCACCACCACCUUCACCUCCUCCACCUAAACCAUACUACUAUCACUCACCACCACCACCUUCACCUCCUCCACCUAAGUCAUAUUACUAUCACUCACCACCACCACCACCCAAAAAGAAGCCAUACUACUACCAUUCUCCCCCACCACCUUCACCACCUCCUCCUAAGCCAUACUACUAUCACUCUCCCCCACCGCCUUCACCUCCUCCACCUACGCCAUACUACUAUCAUUCUCCCCCACCACCCUCACCACCUCCACCUAAGCCAUACUACUACCAUUCACCACCACCCCCACCGAAGAAGAAGCCUUACUACUACCACUCUCCACCACCACCUUCACCUCCUCCUCCAAAGAAGCCAUACUACUACCACUCCCCACCUCCUCCCAAGAAGCCCUACAAAUAUUCAUCUCCCCCACCUCCAGUGCACCCUUACCCUCAUCCUCACCCCCAUCCCCAUCCACACCCCCACCCUCACCCUCCCUACGUUUACAAAUCUCCUCCCCCACCCCCUAAGAAGCCAUACAAGUACCCAUCCCCACCACCUCCAGUCCACGUUUACCCUCACCCUCACCCGCAUCCACACCCUCACCCUCAACCUCACCCCCAUCCACAACCCCACCCUCCCUACAUUUAUCAGUCUCCUCCAC
rnacentral:lncRNA from 1 species